rnacentral:rRNA from 1 species
UACGGGGGGGGCAAGCGUUGUUCGGAAUUACUGGGCGUAAAGGGCUCGUAGGCGGCCAACUAAGUCGGACGUGAAAUCCCUCGGCUUAACCGGGGAACUGCGUCCGAUACGGGAUGGCUUGAGUUUGGGAGAGGGAUGCGGAAUUCCAGGUGUAGCGGUGAAAUGCGUAGAUAUCUGGAGGAACACCGGUGGCGAAGGCGGCAUCCUGGACCAACACUGACGCUGAUGAGCGAAAGCCAGGGGAGCAAACGGG